GACAAGAGGGAGCCGGCAUCACUGCCGCUGUGGUUUGGGAGCAGAGGCUCAAGUGGAGCCCCUCUGGGCCCGGCACUGCCUGCAGGGCUCACACACGGCCGGGGAUGGCGGCCACCGAGCGGCCGGGGCCUGGGCUGUGGCGGCGUGAGGAGCAGGGGGAGCCAGGCAGAUGGAGGAAGCGUUGGGAAAGCUCCUCCUUCCAGCGCCGGGGCCGCGGCUCCUCCGCUGCCUCCCCACAGCAGCAGGCGAGGCGGAAACGGCCCCGGCGGGCUCCUGGGGGAGGAAGAGGAGGAGGCCGGGGAAGGCCGAAGCGCCGUGGAGGCCGAGCCCAGGCCGAGCCAAAAUGUUGCUGAAGCUGAGGGAUUCUCCUGGGAAACUGAGCUUCGGCGAAAUCUCGUUUUCAGCAGAAAAUCCUUCCACGGGAGGCUUUGAAACGCCUUCCCCAGCGCUGCUCCCGGAGGAGUCUGGCUCUGGGUUCAUUUGCAAAGCGGAGCUCCUGGGGCUGUGCAGGGGCUGGGUGGCUCCCCGGGGGGGGGCAACGCAUCGCCCCCGAACCGUAAACACGUAAAUAUCCACCCACGGCACCGGCACUGUUAGAAGCCGAGCCUCGCUCCUCUGUAAAGGAGAAAUGUGGGGAAUAUAAUUUCAGCGGCGCACGCAGAGUCCUGCUAAACAGACCAACAAAACGCUCGGAAAUAUUUACUUCUGACAAAUCAAUCCGUGUGGGCACCGCGGCACCACGCACCGAGCCCUACCUGUCUGCCCUGCUUGCUGACGUAUUUCCCUGAGUGGAAAAAUAAUAAUUAAAAGCUAAAAAAUAGCA